CCCGCUGCCAGCGGCACGGGGAGGGGUGCGGGGAACGCGGGGUGUGGGUAGGUGCCAUGUUUGGAAACCAGAUCCCCACAGCCUCUUUUGAACCUUUUCCCUCACCCCCUCGUCCCCGCCAAACAUCGCAUGUGAUCGCAUUUUUUAGCCUCCUCCGUCAGUCGGAGGCUUCGAACGUAACGUUGCUGAAUCGCCUACUGCGAGUGAUGAGAACAAACAGAUCGGAGUCGUGGCCUGUGGAGGAGAGCCACGGCUUCUCCUUCUGACAGCCCGUCAGGCCUGCUCGCUCCGGGCGGGAGGUGGUGGGAGAGGCGGCUGGAGCAGCGCAAGCCUCUGACGCCACGCAGACCCUCCGUGCCACGGGAGGUGUAUCCUUACCUCCCUGUCGCCUGCUUGCGUGCACCUGUGCCAGGGAGGGAUGCGCUGAAGGUGUGACGUGAUCUGGGUGUUUCUUUAGGCUGCAUCGGAAAUACCCGCUUGAGCCGUGCAGGUGCCAGCGCGUCCCCACGGCUGGGCACCAAACCCCGCAGGCUGCCGGCUUCAGCCCCGUACGCUGGGCUACUAGAGAUCCGUGCAAUGGUGGGUACUGAGGCCCAGCUGCCAGCGCAGUACUGGCUGGGAGCUGUCCAGCAGUGUGAUGCUCGGAUCUCAGUUCAAGACGAAGAGUUCAGUUUGCUCUUGCAGUUCAUUGUGCUUGGGGUGUGGCUACCCUUGGAGGUGGGGUGAUUGGAAUGAGAAAUGUUCUGUGAGAAUGCAUUGUGUUAGUCACUGUGAGGAAACGUGAGUGAACGAUUCCUCCUCAGUUUCUAUUCAUCAGAAAAAAAUUAAAUAAAGGAGUAGCUCAAAGGCU